GACGCGGUGGCUCAGUUGGGCAGAGGUUUGGUGGAGGCUCACAGGACCUGGGUUCGACUCCCAGUAGUGACG